rnacentral:precursor_RNA from 1 species
GCGUGUAAUUGUGAAUGGGUGAUCGUCUCUCAGUUUUGAAGGAGAGAUUUUGAGUGAUCUUUGAUCAUGGGUUGGUGUCGUCGGACCAGGCUUCAUUCCCCCCAAUUUAUUGCUUCCAUUGCUGCUGAUCUUCACGGUCUUUGAUUUUAUGCCUGGAUCUGCAGGUGGGUUU